rnacentral:lncRNA from 1 species
CAGGCAGGCUUCGCCCGGACUCCUACGGGAGCCGGACCUCGUCCCCGACUCCGACUGCAGGCAGGCUUCGUCCGGACUCCGACGGGAGCCGGACUCCACCCACGACUUCAAUUGCAGGUAGACUUCAUCCGAACUCCCACGAGAGCCGGACUUCAUCCCCGAUUUUGACUGUAGGAAGACUUCGUCCGGACUCCUACGGGAGUCGGACUUCGAGCUCCUCUUGCAAGCGACCCACUCUGAGUUACCGCUGCAAACGAACUACUUCAAGUUCCUA